GUUAAUUGGGGAAAAAAAUCCAAUGUUGUAAAGAAGUCUGUCACUUAGUAACAUCUGUGGAAGGAGAGGAGUCAGUGUGAAGCCGAGCCCUGGAUAUUUGAUGGAAACGGGGAAGUGUGCAGGAGCUUUCGGCAGAGACAGCUGGAGACUGUAGGAAGAUACAUGCCAGAGUGAGUCUCAAUCCCCUGACACACCUGUAAGAGGUAGAACACUGUAUGGCAAAGCAGCACUUGCCACAGGCACACCACCGGGUUCCUCUGGCAAGACUCUUCAGCAGCUUGCGGGGAAGAGUUUUUUCCCAGUCAGACAACUGUGCCUCAAAGUAUCAGGUUUUGCGUAAGGCUAAGACAUCUAUCCAGAAGUUGGAGCAAACCUUGUGUUCUUUGCUGAAGAUGAAAGAGAGCUACAGUCUGGAGGAUGGGAACCCAUCCAGCUUGGAGGAAGUCAGGGAGGAAUAUGUCAAGAGGCAAUUCAGCAAUCACAGCAUUACCUCAGCCUCAGAAGACGUGAGUGAAAGUGACUCUGCCAUCUGGUAUUUGAUUCAAGAAUGUGAAAAACAAACACUGGAAGAAGAUGGGAAGCCAGAACUGAUCCAGUUUUCAGACACUUCUUCCCCAGAUCUAGUGGAAUUUGAACGAUACCUGUAUUUUUAUAAGCAUACAAUGGACCUGCUGAUAGAGCAUGGAAUUGUUUGCACUGGAGAAGUGCCUCUUCCUGAGGUCUCCACAGCUAUUUCCCAUUUCUGGCAAGAGCUUUCUGAAGAAAGCAGGGACAGCAUCUUGCAGUACUGUAGUCAGAGAGAUUUCCUCGUGGAUUCCAAGGCUUCUGGCCAAGAGGCUGCAUGCACUGAAGGGAGCGUGAGGGACAGCGGAGGUAACAGUGAGGAAGCCAGUGGUUCCUCAGUCUCCACACCAGAGGAAGUAAUGUUUGAAGAUGCAUUUGAUGUUGCUGCUGGUUUCCUUGACAGAAGCAAGACUCAGGGAAUGUCUAGCCAGAGUUCAGCAAUUGCAAGCUGCAAUUCUGAUAAUCCAGAGGAUCACCACAGACUCUAUCUGCUGGUCACUGACUUCCUAAAACGCCUCUUCUUUGCUAAUACACAGUUUUUCCAGCAGUCUUUCCCUAAAGAGUCCUGCAUCAGUACAGAAGAUGGACUAGAGGGACUGCAAGCAUGAACACUUUCAUCUUCCAGACUUUGAUUUCUCAAGAGCCGCUUAUUCUCUGUAAGCUGGUGAAAGAGAAGACCACUUCCUUCUGUUGCUAAAAGUGGAGCAAAGCCUGAAGAAGAAGAUCUUCCAUACGAUUAUGAGACUGUGAUGCUGAGGUGCACUGAGACCUUCGAUGAUGAAGAUUUCUAAACAGGACCUCUCUUUGCUAAUGUUUUGCCAAGCAGUGUCAGGUACACCAGGCACGUGAAGAGGCUUCACCUCCUUCAGUGAAGCACCUCUCUGAGCAGUGCGUGGAGACACUGCGUUGAAGUGGUUUGUUACCAUUGACUUCUCCUUCCCUCAUUAGUACUUCUUGAUAUAUCAGUUGAGUAAUUUAUACUUUUUAAAAGUCUUAAAGGUUUUAGCUAUUUAUUAUAUCUUAAUAAAUGUUUUUAUCCAUCACUAUUUAAUGUUAAAUCUCGCCUCACAAAUAAACUGAGGCAUGUACAGUUAAGUGACCUUGCCUAGCAUAACCUGUGGAAGAGCAGCAGAGAGGCCACAUCAAUGGCAGCCUGCACACUACCAUAGGAUGCAAGUCUCAAACUGCAACCUGUAAAAAUCACCACCCUGACAGUGAUUACUUUUCUGGUGCUGUUUUUUAGCCUGGGCUGACAAGGAAAGAUGGAUUUCCUCACAAAGAGUGGGAUGAGGCUCUUCUGUCUCUUUAUGAGGACAGCAGCAGUGGGCACCCACUCCCAAAUCACCCAGAAAAGUGCAGGCACAAUAAUACACUUUGGAUUAUUUACUUUUGAAAAGUGUGUAAAGCUGAGUGAUCAGCCCUGUGCUCUUCUUCCAUAUCUAAUUCUUUGAUGAGUAGUGCUGCUCAAAUAGUGUCUUAGAAUUAAUGUGCUGUGAAAAUGAAUAAAAUCCUUCACAUCUCAGAGCUAUCA